rfam:Thaumarchaeota archaeon 13_1_40CM_2_39_13_1 13_1_40cm_2_scaffold_166111, whole genome shotgun sequence.
AAUCCGGUUGAUCCUGCCGGACCUGACUGCUAUCGGAUUAGUACUAAGCCAUGCGAGUCAUUGCAGCAAUGCAAGGCGGACGGCUCAGUAACACGUAGUCAACCUACCUUGUGGACGUGGAUAACCUCGGGAA